AGUGAUGCUCCAGGCGCUAUCGCUCCACUUCCAGUUCAGUCUCGGCGUGACGGAAAUUAGUCCACAUUUUAAUCUACCAAAAGAGGAAUUUGGAUGAUAUCAAAUAGGUCCAGGUGGACGUGGCCAAUCGGCUGAGGUGCUCUCACACCUGGUCCUCGGUUCCUCAUCUGGCAGGCUGCUUAAAAGGAUCUGAGAGGAUAAUUCACAGUGGUCACGAUGAUGUGCUCUGAGAAUCCUCAGGACAACCGAGCAAUGCUUACCCAGACUUUGAUCCUAGACAACAAAAAAAAAAAACACUCCUGGAACUCUGGAAGAACAAUCAUUGUUUUGUGUACAAUCAUUUUCACACCAGUUCUUACCACCGUUCCUUAGUCUGCUUGCAUUUUGGUCAAAACAAACUUUACAGUUUUGACAUGGCAUUAUAUUUCUUUCCAAACUAAUGUAAAUGACUUUUUUGCAUUUUGAAAUUUGAGAUUUCUUAUCCAACAUUAUGUUAUCAGACAGAUUCUACUGAAGUGAUUGCUUGAUUUCUACUUGCAUGGCAGCGCCCUGUUGAAUGGCAGCGCCCUGCAGGCACCGUGUAAGCGUUGUCCUUGGCAGCAUGGCCUCAGUA